rnacentral:ncRNA from 1 species
GAAAGCCGUAUGAGGGAAAACCUCACGUACGGUUUGAUGAGGAGGGGCAGAAAUUACCUGCCCUUUACUCUAGCGAAAUGGGGGAGCGUUACCCACUUUAAU